UCUUGACUAGUAUAUCGGUUAGUACACGCGCUUGUCAUGAACGGAUCAAUGUGUAACGUGUCCGCGCGAAAGCUGGGUUCGACUCCCAGGUCGAGAG